GAUGAAGAACGUAGCGAAAUGCGAUAAGUAGUGUGAAUUGCAGAAUUCAGUGAAUCAUCGAAUCUUUGAACGCACAUUGCGCCCCUUGGUAUUCCAUGGGGCAUGCCUGUUCGAGCGUCAUUUGUACCUUCAAGCUUUGCUUGGUGUUGGGUGUUUGUCUCGCCUUUGCGUGUAGACUCGCCUUAAAAUAAUUGGCAGCCGGCGUAUUGAUUUCGGAGCGCAGUACAUCUCGCGCUUUGCACUCAUUACGACAGCGUCCAAAAGUACAUUUUACACUCUUGACCUCGGAUCAGGUAGGGAUACCCGCUGAACUUAAGCAUAUCAAUAAGCGGAGGA
rnacentral:misc_RNA from 1 species